UCAUUUUUCCUGAAUGAAUUUACAUAUUAACACCAUAUGCACAAUUAAAGGAUUGAUCUUAUACAAGCCAUCGGCAUCUAUGUAAUAAUUGCAAUUAUAAACAGCUCAGGACUUAAACACCUUAAAAAAAACUGUUUGUAGUGCAAACCUAGUAAAAUAAAUAUUGAACAAGCACUCAUUCAUUAUUAAAUACCAACUUCUGAAUUAUGGAUAAUAAAUUGUAUAUGGUUGUGAUUGAAGUUAUUUUCAUUUUAAAUAGCAUAAAUUGUUGAUUAUAAUCAACAGGCAUCGAUAUUGUAAAUCAGGUGCAUUAAUGCAGUGUUGUUUUUAUGUCCCCCACUAUAGUAGUGGGGGACAUAUUGUUUUUGCCCUGUCUGUCUGUUGGUCUGUUUGCGCCAACUUUAACAUUUUGCAAUAACUUUUGCUAUAUUGAAGAUAGCAACUUCAUAUUUGGCAUGCAUGUGUAUCUCAUGAAGCUGCACAUUUUGAGUGGUGAAAGGUCAAGGUCAAGGUCAUCCUUCAAGGUCAGAGGUCAAUUAUAUGUGGCCAAAAUUGCUCAUUUUAUGAAUACUUUUGCAAUAUUGAAGAUAGCAACUUGAUAUUUGGCAUGCAUGUGCAUCUCAUGGAGCUGCUCAUUUUGAGUGGUGAAAGGUAAAGGUCAAGGCCAUCCUUCAAGGUCAGAGGUCAAAUAUAUGUGGCCCAAAUCGCUUAUUUUAUGAAAACUUUUGCAAUAUUGAAGAUAGCAACUUGAUAUUUGGCAUGUAUGUGUAUCUCAUGGAGCUGCACAUUUUAAGUGGUGAAAGGUCAAGGUCAUCCUUCACAAGGUCAAGGUCAUCCUACAAUGUCAAACAUCAUAUAAGGGGACAUUGUGUUUCACAAACGCAUCUUGUUAUUUCAGAAAUUGUUGGUAUCUUAAUCAAAUUAUAUCCUUUCCAGAACAUUAUAAUAAUGAAACUAUUAAACAGAAAUGCUCACAAAUACCUGUUGAAACAAGUUUGUAUUUGUUUUUGUGGAGAAAUUAAAUGCUUUUGCCUGCCU